AACAAACGCUGGCGGCGUGUCUUAAGCAUGCAAGUUGAGCGGCAAGGAGGAGAGAUCCUCCCUAGAGCGGCGGACUGGUGAGUAACGCGUGGGUAAUCUAUCUUAGGCAUGGGGAUAGUCACUAGAAAUAGUGGGUAAUACCGAAUAAGUUCCAUAAGGGGAGGACUUAUGGAAGAAAGGUGCUACGGCACUGGCCUUAGGUGAGCUCGCGUCCCAUUAGCUAGUUGGUGAGGUAAAGGCCCACCAAGGCGAUGAUGGGUAGCCGGCCUGAGAGGGUGUACGGCCACACUGGGACUGAGAUACGGCCCAGACUCCUACGGGAGGCAGCAGCUAAGAAUAUUCCGCAAUGGACGGAAGUCUGACGGAGCGACGCCGCGUGGAUGAGGAAGGCCGAAAGGUUGUAAAGUUCUUUUGCUAGGGGAGAAUAAGUGUGGGAGGGAAUGCCUGCACGAUGACAAGGACUAGCGAAUAAGUCCCGGCCAACUACGUGCCAGCAGCCGCGGUAA
rnacentral:rRNA from 1 species